UAUGGCCAUAUCACGUUUGAACACCGGUUCCCGUACGAUCACAGAAGUUAAGCAAAGUCGAGUUUGGUCAAUACCUAGGGUGGGUGAUUGCUUGGGAAUACCAGGUGCUGUAAG